GACGUAGGGCGCGAGCGUUGUCCGGAUUUAUUGGGCGUAAAGAGCUCGUAGGCGGCUUGUCGCGUCGAAUGUGAACUCUCAGGGCUCAACCCUGACAUUGCAUUCGAUACGGGCAGGCUAGAGUUCGGUAGGGGAGACUGGAAUUCCUGGUGUAGCGGUGAAAUGCGCAGAUAUCAGGAGGAACACCGGUGGCGAAGGCGGGUCUCUGGGCCGAUACUGACGCUGAGGAGCGAAAGCAUGGGGAGCGAACAGG
rnacentral:rRNA from 1 species